CCAAAAAAAAAAAACUCUUCCGUAACCGUUCCCUCCGCGAAUCUGCGAUCUCUAUAUAUUAAGCAAUCCCUUUUAAUAAGAUUCAUUUUCUCUCCCUUUCCUAUUCGCUUUUAAACACUAAAAUUUUCUAAUUUCCCUUCACCCUGUUUUACUCUCCUUCAAGCAGCUUUGGCCAGGAAAGCUCAAGACCUGACCAUGAGGAAAAGAUUGAAGGUGGAAACAAGAGCAUCAGCCGCAAAAGCAUCCAAAGCUCUCAGUUUGAAGAAGAAUGACAUGCCCGAUCUUCCUGAAGAGGUGAUAUUCAAUAUCCUUGUUAGACUUCGGGCUGACGAAGUUUAUAAAUUCAUAAGUGUAUGCAGGUCAUGGUACAGACUAAUCCAUGACCCUGUUUUCAUCCAAUCCCACCUGGAACAUUCCAUUCCUGGUUUGAUGACUUUGAUCAUAAAUCGAAAUUUUAUUGAAUGGAAAGUUUAUCUAUGAAACAUACUUCAAAGAGAUGAAAGACAAAAAGAGUACAAAACAAGAUUUGAAGUUUGGUAACAAAGGAGAGAUCAUUGGUUGCUGCAAUGGUUUGGUAAUCCAAAAAUCUAAGGGAAACCACCUUUCUGUGGCAAAUUUGAUGAUUAAAAAAAGAGUGAACCUUCCUUCAACUACUAGUACUAAGUUAGAUUCUGUGCAACUUCAUUGUGGGUUCACUUAUGUUCCUGAAAUUGGCAUGUAUAAAUUGGUGCACCUUCUGAUGGAUGAGAUUACUUUGACAUGUGAGGUGCUGUCGUUGGGGGGUUCUGGCAGCAAUACAUGGAAAUGUGUCAAUGGAUCUUCAAUUUCAUUGAGUGGUCAAGAUGAAAAAUGGCAAUUUCAUUGUUCAGAAGCAGUAACGGUAAAUGGGAUCGUGCUUUUUGUUGGUGUCAGACUUGUUCGAUCUUCCUCCGUACACAUAGUUUCAUUUGAUGCAGGUGCAGAGGUCUUUCACCUAAUCCGAUCUCCAGUUCAUGAUUUUUCAAUAUCAGAUUCUUUCCUGGAGCUUGGAGGUGUGUUAUCAUUUGUGCAAGCAAUUGAUCAUAUUAUAAACAAUACAUACAAUGUAUGGAUUUUGAAGGAUUGGUUGAAAGGGACAUGGGUGAAGCAACAUACAUUCUCAAUAAGGAAAUCAUCUGUGGGGGAUACCGUACAAUGGAUUAACAGUUCUGAUAUUGUUACAGUCCUGUCUAGCUUAUCACAUGGAGGAAGAAAAACCAUAAUCUUUCAAAUCAAGCCAUUUUUCGGACGUCUUUCUCACAUUGCAUAUGAUCUUGAAUUAAAUCAAGAAAGUGAAAUACAAUUUGAUAAUAUUAGAGGAUGGCCCUUUAGGUUUUUUACUUUUGUCAGUAGCUUGAUCUCUCCCAAGUUGCUAUAAAUUGGUGCACUUAAGCCCCCCAAAACAGUUUCUCCCUCUUCUUUUUAGCCAAGAAUGGAAUAGUUGAUCCCAGAUUUGAUACAAAUAUUUUGUCUCUACUUUUUAUUUGAUUUGGCAUCCACAACUGGUCUGUGUAUACUUUUUUUUUUUUUGGUGAAGACUCGUCUGUGUAUACUUACUCCUUCCAGAAAUUGAAUGUCGGUGCCUGCUAUUCAUGGUUAAUGACUAAUAUUCACUACUAUGUCAGCGUAUACUUCUCUUUCCAGAAAUAUUAAUAGCAUGACCUACAUAUUACCUACAUGCAUUGCAGUUAUAUCACAUAAUUUUAAUGUUUUAUUCCUUAUUUUUUAUUUGCUCCAUAUCAUAUCUAACUGUAGAAGUAGUUUUCUUUUUUUGGUUCCAAAACUGAAUGGUAUUCAGAUGUUAGCAAUAAGAUUUUUAGGAGUCUUGACAUGAGCACAGGGAAGCCACCUACUCAUCCCCCUCAUUUUUUCCCCAUAUUGUUUUUUCUUUUGCUGCCAUGCAGUUAAAUAUAAGGGCCAAGGUUUGUUGCAAUAGUUCAUUGAGAUAAACUUAUCUGAAAGACCUGAAUAUCUGCCACGUGGCAGGUCGAAUGGAGCCCAAGUUUUGUGGACUAUGAUAUGUCAAGUUUUGGUCUAAGUGGAGCUUGCUAAAUGGGAAAAAGUUUGCACGGCAUACAGAGGUGUUUGAAAAAAAAAAAAAAAUACUAGGAUGCAUGCCAAUAUUGAGUAUUUAAUUGAAUUAGGUCUUAACUUGAUAUUGACAACUAAUAAAAAUUGGGCAUUGUCUCAGUUUGUAUGGACUAUGGUAUAUUUAGCUGUACUUAACAGCUUGGAGUGGGUGGACCAAAUCAAAAUGAUUAAGGGGGCUUGAAUGUCCCAGAUCGUUAGCUGUCAAUGGUAAAUAAAUUAUCUUUUUCACAAGUUUUAUUCUUCUGAUUCACAAUUUAAAGAUGCCAGUUUUAAUGUCUUACCUACAGAUACCUGUAUGACUGCAGCCAUCAACUUAAGAAGAGAAUGAUAUCAAUAAUGCAUUUUUAUUAGACCAUGGAUCUUCAGUCACUUGAACGUACUGAAGCGAGUGUGGAGUGUGGAGUGUGGGGUGUGGGAGCUUCUGGGUUCCUACAACUAUACUGUUUUGUUUCACAAGGGCUUCUUAGGUACUAAUACAGGAUGGUCCAUGCUAAAAAUAGAAAUAAGAUGAUUAGUAGUCUUGGUUGCCAGCUUGCAGCUACUUGAUUGUAACCCAGGCUGCAGCCAAAUUAAGGACUGCACACUAAUUUUAGUCACAUGAUGGGAUGAUACUUAUACUGCUCUGCUACAAAAUGGUUACAACCGACACAACUCUAAAAUCCCCACUUCCCUACUACACCAUAACUUCUACACUACAAAUAUAUCAAAAAAAAAGAAAAAGAGAGGAAAUAGCACUCCCCUCUCUUGAACUAUGUUAAAAUAUCAAAUUGACCUCAAACUUUUCUAAAAAUAUCACUCGCCUUCCCUCAAAUAAAAAGAUUCUAACGUCCUCAACUGUUUGAAAUGGCAGUUUAGUUAGUCGGUUUUUUCUCAUAAUGUUCAAAAUAUCCUCCCAAACAUGAAAUACCCAAUAUACCUUAAUGAAAUAAACCCCUCUUCUCCCUACCAUACUUUCUCGAUUAGCUCCACUUCCCCUUCUCCUUUCUCGCUGAACCGAAUGAAGAAGAAGACAAGAACCUGCAAUUUCUCCCAUUUCUCACAUCGUCUUCUUCAUUGAAGCUCACACGGUCGUGAUUGGAGCCCUAGAUUAUGUUCUCGGUUCUCAUUUUUUUCAGUUCUCUCCACGAUUUGGAGCCCUAGAUUUCAAAUCGAUGAAGUGAAGGUCGCGGUUACUUUCCGCAAGCUAUCUUCCUUCCAAUAUCUCUGCAAGCAGAACUCACAUGCUGCAACCUUUCUUCGUUCCAUUUCUCUUUGCCCUCGAAAGUUAGAGAUAAAUGUCUAGUUCAAGUGUUGGUUGCAGCGAGGUUGAUACAUUGAAGUAUAAAUUCGUAAGGUGUAGAUGUAAUCGAAAAGCUGUCAUUAGGAUAUCUGAGACAUGAUAAUUCGAAUUGACUCUUUUACAGCUGUCCAGAAUUGCAUGGAAGUAACUUCCUCACUUGGUGUGAUCCCAUUAAUGCACCAUGAACUGAAUUGCCGAACAGAGAAGUACCAAUAAACAAUCCCACAUGUAAGUUGCAAGAGUUGCAAUAGGAGGUCCAUGGCUUGCAAGCUGAGGUCCGUGAGUUGCGAGAGGAGUUGCAAGUCUUGCGAGAAGUCUUACAAGGGUUGCAACAAGAGCUGGGAAUUGAGAAGUUUAGAUUGGAUGAGAUAGAGAAGUUGACAACAUCAAUGAAGCCCAUCUGUCAGUUUGUAAUUGUUUUCUUUGUUGGAGUACUUGUAAAAUUUGUAUGGGUAAAAUAGUGUGACAAAUCACACGAAGAAUAGUUUUCUUCAGUUAGAGUACUUGUUCGGAAUUUAUUUGGAGUACUUUUAACCAUUUUAAUCAAUUGCUUCUUUGUUACCA